AUCUUAAGAACUGAUAAUGGCACAAAAUGUAUUAAUGGUGUUGUUUGAGCUUAUUUGGAUUCAAAUGGUAUAAUGCAUCAAAUUAGUUGCAUCAAUACUAGUGAAUAAAAUGAGAUGUCCAAAAGAAAAAAUAAAUAUUUAUUAAAGGUGGCUCAAUCUCUUCCGUUUACUAUGAAUCUUUCGACGCUUUGUUGGGGGAUGCAAUUCUUGCUACAACUUAUCUUAUCAAUAGAAUGCCUAAACUGAACUUUAAAAGCCCUUUAGA
rnacentral:misc_RNA from 1 species